AAAGGGAGCGCAGGCGGAGCGUUAAGUCCGUGGUGAAAGCCCUCAGCUCAACUGAGGAACUGCCAUGGAUACUAUCGUUCUUGAAUGUCGUUGAGGUUUGCGGAAUGGGUCAUGUAGCGGUGAAAUGCUUAGAUAUGUUACAGAACACCAAUUGCGAAGGCAGAUGACUAAACCGAAACUGACGCUGAGGCACGAAAGCGUGGGGAUCAAACAGGAUUAGAUACCCCGGU
rnacentral:rRNA from 1 species